ACUUUUAAUGACACGUCUGAACAGCGUUGUGCUCGUGGCAGGUGCGUACUUUCACUCUAAAGACGAUGAACAGACUUUAAAGAACCUUGUAUUUCAUCCUAGAUGCUAAAAUUUAGGAGAAAGUGAGUAGUUUAACUUUUUUCUUUACUUUCUUUGAUUUUUUUUAUUGACCAUCUAUUGAUUCCGCGUGUACGAGCUUGUGCGCCUCCAAAAUCUCUGUGUGGAGCAAAGCAAGGAUAGGGUUUCUCGAGAGCUUAGUUUACCGACUAAUGCCUGCCCCCUGACGGCCACGUCCGUUGGACCUGCAUGAAGACAUAUCCGUGAGAGAACUAACGACACUGUGUCUAGAAAGUUGAAGACAUUUCCCAUUGGUUGCCUGCGCCUGUAACCCACAGCAUCAAAGCGGCUGCGAUAAUGAGAGCGGGAGACAGCGCUGAGGAAGACUGGAGAUGAUAUCUUGAUAAUCCAGAGAAGAGGCUCAAAGAAAGCCGCAGCUGGAGACAGCAUGGAGCCCUGCCUGAGGUGGCUUUCCUGACAGCGUGUGGUCUGCAAAAUGAUCCUUUUCAUCAAGGGGCGGCUAUGACCUGACCAGUGUUAAAGCAUGCUGCUGGCUAGAUCUGUCCAGGAGCAAGGAGUAACACACUGUGAAGGGAAUUCCCAUAUGAAUGAUGUCAUCUCCCCAAAAAAGGGCGCAUUUCUCAUGUGUCGAUCAGACUGCAAGUCUAGAAUACACAAAAGAAAAAAAUCAUCUGUUUAGUUUAAUCGUAAAUGUACUGGUAAUUGGCAUUGCUACAUUCAAGAAUCGUGUUGCAGUCAUUACUAGAAUAAGCUUUUAAAGGACAUUUUUAAAAAAGCGUUCCAAAUCAGUUGGACACCCCUACAUUUCUAUCUUAGCGCUAUGGCACCUUCACAACAAGUCUCAACACUAAUUGUUUGUUAUCUUAAAGAGCUAAAUGUGCAGCUGGAGUUUGAAUUGUGGAGGGUAUCAGACAAAUCAUCAGCACAAACGUGAAACGUUCAAGAAACCUCUGCUGAUCCCAACAAACCCAGAUAACCUCCACGAAGAAUAGCUGUGUGUGACCCCCCCACCCUCCUCGUACACUGCCCUGAACGUGUUGGACGUUUACAUUCUUAGCACACAGUGUGAGGCCAGUUUGGACCCUGCAGAGAGCUUAACUAUUAUCUAUACUGUACUAUACCCAGCACUACGAAAAAAAGGGAUACAAAAUAAAUUUGUUCAGGCAGCACACGUCUGAAUAUAUUACACUUUGGCUUCUAGAUUCAAAGAUCAUCAAUCCCUGCAAAUGUGUUACACAUAAAAACCGGGGAGUGAUGAGUAAAUAUCCCCCUCAGAGCUUAUAGCUGGAUGUUUGGGGAUGAAGGGCCAGGGCAGCAGUGGCAUUUGUAUUACAGGUAUUGCAGCUUUGUAUUUAAAUAAAAAAUCCUCUGCAUGAUCUUGAACUCUGUGUUGACUAAAUGUACACGACAAGUCAUUUAUCAAAAAGUACUCAUUAUGGCCUGAAUCUUAAUUAUGUCUAAUGGAAGACUUACCCCCCCUUUUUUUUUAGUGACCUAGACCCAUCUCUGAGAACUUGUUACUCACACAAAAACGGUGGUGUGCACCCUCUUAAUGAAAACAGAAAACAACCCUUUCAACAGAAACUGAAAGUGUUGCACAAUCUUGCAGAUCAAUUCUAGUAUUGCUGAAGCCGUGACUACCUCCAGACACUUUUCUUUCUCAAGAGGAAUAAAACUCAAUGUGACAUCCACCAAGGAGAUUUUCCUUUGUGUGGAAACAUACACACAGCAGGAAAACGAGUGACCUUUGGCACUUAUCACAAAGACACUUAAUACUUUUGAUGGACAGGUCUGCAAAGUGCAAGGCAACGUGAUGAAAUCAUUGCGCAACAGUUACAUAAGGUUUAAUAGUAACGCUCUUAGGUUAGGGAUCAAAUUUAGACAUGACAGAUGACUGAUGUCAGGCGCAGAGGUCUAGCUCACUUGAUCUGCAGAGCUUUCUACACAUAAACACGUUUGUGCAGGUGAUUUGUCGUAUAUCCAUCUAGGAUUUAAAAUCCAGCAGCUCACAGACGAUAACAGACAGCUUUGGUGUUGUCUCAUUGUAAAAGUGACAUAACAGCAAAGUGCAGAUGCCAUAGCUUGUUUCCAGUUCAUGUAGCCGGUGUGCAUGAAUAUUGAAUACAAUUAAGCAAUUGGUGCUAUUAUUAUGUAUACAUAUGUAUAUGUGUGUGUGUGUGUGUUAAUGCAUCUUUGGUCAAACUUCCAAAGAUGCAUUAAAGCAACACACACACACAAAGUAACAUAAAUCAUAAGAUAAGUUACUCUAAUUAUGCAAGGCUCACUGUUAUUAUAUAAGACUUCAUCCACAUUACAUUAGUGGAUUUCUUCUCAGUUUCUCACUGAGCUCUUUAAAAUCUUAAAAUAGUGAACACGGCGAGUCGUGAUAUCGCGUCACUUGUUGGAUGAGUUUUAGCUUCCUGUUAAAUUGUGUUGCCACAGCACAAGAAUAGUACAGUGACUAUACUUCUAUAAAUAUGUUAAUGUUCCAGAUUGGCCUGAUAUCUACAGUAAAAACCAAUGAAGCAUUUAAUGCAGUCGCAGUUACUUCUUAUGUUGAUUCUUUUUUUACUACUGCAUUUUAAAGAAGCUCUCGAGCACAUUCGGGUUUCUGUAUCUGGAGGUUGCAGGGCUCAGUCUGCAGAAGGAAACAUAGUGCUUGCAUUUGCUGUGGUACCCAUGGUACUCUAGAGGUACACAUCUAGAGAGACUAAAGUAUCCAGGCUCCUCACAAAGAAGUAAAUUAUGUUUAUUACAGCAUGUAUUACAGCAAGCUGCCCUGUACCAUUAAUGAUGAGUUUUGACACUGAUGUGUUGAAACUUAUCUUUAUAACAAUAAAGACAUGGCUUGAUGACCAUUAGAACAAUUCCAGGUUUUUCCAAGUGUAGCUGCAGAGGCAGAGGCCACCCUCACAAACCUUUGAUUAACACCCAGUCAUUUUGUUUUAUAAGCAAGCCUGAAAUAUG